AAAUGAAAUCUUGCGAAGCUCUUUGUCAUAUUCGCUUUUCUUCGUCGUAUUACGAUUACGAACUUUCAAAGUUCAAAUUUCGAAAAAAUGAAUAUGCAAGAAAAAAUAAGUUUGCAGUUUUGCAAUGAAAGGUAGAAAACGAAAACUUCCGAAACGUUCUUUGCAUAUCAUUUUUUGCAAUUACGACGUGAAGUAAGCUUCUUGAGUAGCUAUGAGUUUGAUUCAUUGCAACAUACCUAUUACUCAAGUACAUUGAGUACCUAUGCAUCUAUCUUUGUAGUUUUCUAUUUGUAAGCGACUCCUAGGAAUCUGGGAAGAUUGUAUUCCUGUUGCACAUAAAAUGUGCUAUUGUAACGCAAAUUGCAAAUCUUGAUGGAGAAAUUAGAGUAUGUAAGUAAAUGUGACGAAAGCACAGUUACCUAUAGUAGUAGCCUACAUAAAUACGGGUUAGAUCAGAUAGCUUUAUUGUAUAUCGCGAACUUGCAUUCAAAGUUGUGUUUGUGUAGGUGUUAUUUUUAAAGAGUGAUUUCGAUCGCAACAUUACGAACUUAUCUUUACUAGAUUUCAAAACAAGAUAACAAAUCUUGAUCAAGAUGAUGAAUAUUCUUCCUGUAAUCAUCUUAUUGCUAGUUGCUGGAUUGUUGUCAAGUAGUUGGAGUACUAUUGUAAUGGCAGCCGAGGAAACUGGAAGCUCUGUAACUGUUCCAAGUACGAUGCAAUGUUUAAAUGAGAAUUUUCAGAAGAUGCUCAAAUGCUUUACAUGAGAACGCAUCACAUGUACUAUGAUUUUGCAAAAAUGACAGAAUAAAUAUGUAAAUGUA